CCUCAGAAAUGGUAAGACCUCCAAUGGGGAGUCAACAAACCUCAUUUAAUACAUAUUUUCUAUUCUCUUUCAACCACUUACUUACUACUUUAAGGCCCAAAAUACAAGGGAUAUUCCUUAAUGGAGAUAAGGAUUUGAAAUUUAGAGCCCAAUCAUACAGAAUGCAAAAGUUAAAGGUGUUCAGCAACUGAGAUCGGAGAAAGAUCAAGAGGAAAGUAGAAGAGGAGAAAGGACCCCAAAUAUUGCCCUGGGCCAGAUCUCACAGAUCAAAGGAUUAAGACCAGAUGUGUAUUGAGUGAAAAAAAUCACUGGUCACUGGACACGUGACUAACACCCCACCCUUUCACCCCCGCCACUGAAGUCAUGUCCGGCAUGUAUAAACUCAAAGUCUAGCAUUUGAAGGUGUAUUGUUCAAAUUCUUAGUGUAUGAAUGAACCAAUUCCCAACAAGGACUAAGGACGUUGGGGAAAUAGGGCUGGGUGUAGCUCCUGCUUGCUCUCUGCUGAAGAAACCUGGAUUACUCGAUAUGUGGCAGGUAAACGGAUGGACCUAGAGACCAGAAAGCCUCACGCUAUCUUUCGUCUGCAGUUUCUUGCUCCAUAUCCUCAGAUGUGAGUACACAACAUGGAGUAACCAUAGAAACCAGAACAGUUUUUGGGAGCUGGUUCUUUCCUUCUACCAUGGGAUGCUGGGAU